rnacentral:tRNA from 1 species
UCUCUUAUAGCUCAGUCGGUAAAGAAUCUGCCUGCAGUGCAGGAGACCCAGGUUGAGGUCCUGGGUCAGGGAG